rnacentral:rRNA from 1 species
AGUGAACGCUGGCGGUAGGCCUAACACAUGCAAGUCGAACGGCAGCACAGUAAGAGCUUGCUCUUACGGGUGGCGAGUGGCGGACGGGUGAGAAAUACAUCGGAAUCUACUUUUUCGUGGGGGAUAACGUAGGGAAACUUACGCUAAUACCGCAUACGACCUACGGGUGAAAGCAGGGGAUCUUCGGACCUUGCGCGAUUGAAUGAGCCGAUGUCGGAUUAGCUAGUUGGCGGGGUAAAGGCCCACCAAGGCGACGAUCCGUAGCUGGUCUGAGAGGAUGAUCAGCCACACUGGAACUGAGACACGGUCCAGACUCCUACGGGAGGCAGCAGUGGGGAAUAUUGGACAAUGGGCGCAAGCCUGAUCCAGCCAUACCGCGUGGGUGAAGAAGGCCUUCGGGUUGUAAAGCCCUUUUGUUGGGAAAGAAAAGCAGCAGGUUAAUACCCCGCUGUUCUGACGGUACCCAAAGAAUAAGCACCGGCUAGCUUCGUG